CGCGCUUCCUGACCCGGUCCCUCUGCACCAGCGUGGAGGGGGGAGGGGCGCGCACCCUUUCCGCCCAGGCUUUUGCGGGCUCCUCGGGCCGAACCCGAAGGGGCUGUUCCUGAACCUUGACUUGUUAUCAUAGGGACCCAAGCUCUAUUUUUGUGUGGCCAAUUCGUGCACUGCAGCAAAAUGGCCCUUCAGUCGCGUCUUGGGGUUUCUCCUCGGUUCAAAUGCUCUCGCGCUGAGAAAAAGCCGGAGGAAAAAAAAGCGACACCCUCCCUCCCCCAUUAAUUAUUUGUGGGGCCGGAGUAACGCGGGCUGGUGCAACCGGUGCAUAUAAGGACUUGUGUGCAAGGAAGGGGAUCCGCCUCCAGGCGCGGAAAGAGUAGGGAAGAAGCGCACACGCACAGUGCACCCAGCUGGGCGCUUCGGCAGUUUGCAGCUGCGGCGGGGUCGGGUCCACCCGCGGUCCCCGGAAUGCCGGACGGCUGAUCCCGGGUGCUGGUCACUCGCCGAUUCGGGGCUGGGAAGGUUUGCCAGAAGCGGGAAAGAUGGGAGAUCUGAGCGCUCUCUUGGCAUCGCCACACCCAGGACUUGCUCGUGCCGCAAUUCCCCACGGAAACAACCGAGUUGAAACGAGAAGCUUGCUCUCUGGGUGCAGUAGCUAGAAGGCUUCAGAUUAUUGUGGCUGUCACUCAGGUUUUCUGCUCAUUGGUAGACAAAGGGUGAGGAGGUGACUGAAAUUGGAACAGUGGAAGGACCCUUCACCAAAACCUGGAACUUCAGAAGAAUGGCAGGGCUGAAAAUGAUUAGUGUUAAUUCAUUCCAGUUGUGUUACCCUACCCAUAAGACUGCCUGAAGGAGCCUGAACUUCCACGUGCUGUCUUCCAUAUAAUGUGAUCUGAGGUGAAGAGCAUGGUCCCUGGAGUUGAACUGCCUGAAGUAAAUCCCAAAAUAGAAAAAUAAAAAUAAAACAGUGGUUUUAUUGUUUUUAUUUCUUGUUUCUCAUUGAUAGGUAGAUAGAGAGUUUUCUUUAAAAGCCUAGUGCUUUUGGGAUAAUAAUGGCAAGUGAUUACAUCUCUUUUGUAUUAAAUAGGUUUGGAGAAAUUUUCUUAAUUAUCUGGUACUAUUUAAACUCAAAGGCAAACACAACACUCUAUCUAAAAUACCAGUAUUACACUUUCCCUAAAUGCAGAAAACUAUUUUUACUAAAAAUUUGGCAAGCACUUUCAAAACAGCAUUUUUCUGUUUUCAUUCCUUGAGAAUUUCCUAACAAGUAUGC
rnacentral:lncRNA from 10 species